GCGCUUGUAGCUCAGUGGAUUAGAGCACCAGUUUGCGGAACUGGGGGUCGUGGGUUCGAGUCCCGCCAAGCGCACCA
rnacentral:tRNA from 2 species